rnacentral:tRNA from 1 species
GCCCUCGUAGCUCAGUGGAUAGAGCACCCGACUUCUAAUCGGACGGUCGCAGGUUCGAAUCCUGCCGGGGGCG